rnacentral:sRNA from 1 species
AUAUAACUACUAAUUCUAAAAAUCAUCUCAUUUGCUGAUAUUGUUCUCUAUUGAAAAUCAUCUACAUCUGUAUGUAAUUCCUUCUGAAUCCUCUGAAUCAUCUCUCUCUCAUUGUCAUCAUUCUCUGUCAUUUUCAUCUCAAUAUCAACAUUCAUUUCUGCAAACUUGUGAAUUGAUGUUGAUGCUCUUGAAGACUCAGAGCUAAGAGUCAUUUGCUGUUUGAAAGAGAAGAUUUCAGAAAGAUUGAAAGCUGUGCAUUUACUCAUCUAUAUCAUUGUCAACUUCUGCAUCAAUCUGAGGAUCAUUUCAUCAAUUCUAACUUAUAUUUUCACUGAAAAUGUUGAG